rnacentral:rRNA from 1 species
CCCUUAGAUGUUCUGGGCCGCACGCGCGCUACACUGAUGCAUUCAACGAGUCUAAAACCUGGUCUGAUAGGGCUGGGUAAUCUUUUGAAAGUGCAUCGUGAUUGGGAUAGAUGAUUGCAAUUCUUCAUCUUCAACGAGGAAUGCCUAGUAAACGCAAGUCAUCAGCUUGCAUUGAUUACGUCCCUGCCCUUUGUACACACCGCCCGUCGCUCCUACCGAUUGAAUGAUCCGAUGAAUACCAUGGAUUGAGAGUACGAACGGGUUCGCUCAUUUCUGCUGCUCGAGAAGUGGAGUAAAUCUUAUCAUUUAGAGGAAGGAGAAGUCGUAACA